rnacentral:rRNA from 1 species
UACGGGGGGGGCAAGCGUUGUCCGGAAUUACUGGGCGUAAAGGGCGCGUAGGCGGCCUGCUAAGUCGGACGUGAAAUCCCUCGGCUCAACCGGGGAAGUGCAUUGGAAACUGCAAGUCUUGAGUUCUGGAGAGGAUGGGGGAAUUCCCGGUGUAGAGGUGAAAUUCGUAGAGAUCGGGAGGAAUACCAGUGGCGAAGGCGCCCAUCUGGACAGUAACUGACGCUGAGACGCGAAAGCGUGGGGAGCAAACAGG